CCUACGGGUGGCUGCAGUGGGGAAUAUUGGACAAUGGGCGAAAGCCUGAUCCAGCCAUGCCGCGUGUGUGAAGAAGGCCUUCGGGUUGUAAAGCACUUUCAGUGGGGAAGAAAGCCUUGGGGCUAAUACCCUCGAGGAAGGACAUCACCCACAGAAGAAGCACCGGCUAACUCCGUGCCAGCAGCCGCGGUAAUACGGAGGGUGCGAGCGUUAAUCGGAAUUACUGGGCGUAAAGCGCGCGUAGGCGGUCUGAUAAGCCGGUUGUGAAAGCCCCGGGCUCAACCUGGGAACGGCAUUCGGAACUGUCAGGCUAGAGUGCAGGAGAGGAAGGUAGAAUUCCCGGUGUAGCAGUGAAAUGCGUAGAGAUCGGGAGGAAUACCAGUGGCGAAGGCGGCCUUCUGGACUGACACUGACGCUGAGGUGCGAAAGCGUGGGUAGCAAACAGGAUUAGAUACCCUGGUAGUC
rnacentral:rRNA from 1 species